rnacentral:lncRNA from 1 species
AUGCAUAGUCGUAAUUGAAAAGCUUACAAAUAUCAUAUGUAAUUUUUACCCGUUUUUCCAUAUCCGUGUAAUUUCUAUUUGUAAUAAACAAUUAACUGUAUGUUUGUUUUCCUUUUCUGUUUUCUCUUUGUUUCCUCCAUAUUAUCGCCUCAUCAACCACCAACCCACAGGACUUUAUUACCGGGUUUGUAAGUAUCCAGUGAUUAUCCUUUAUUUAUAUUCUAUUUACAUAAAUGUCUUUAUGAUUAAUCCUUCCUUUUUCCUUAAAUGUUAUGGUACGUGUACAACACAAUUAUGAAAUUUUGAUUGAAAAAAAUGAGUCAUGAAUAAAGAAGAACUUUGUUUUGUGACGCAUACAGACAGAUAGAGACGUAUAUGUAUAUCUUGUUUUAGAUCUCUCAUGGAGAGAGAUGCUUUAUUAAAACUUAUCACGGGAGAUCUAGAAGAUGAAUCAUAAAUGUUCUCAGGCAAGAAAUUGCAAUUAAAUCAUACAGGCCAACGGUACUAAUCCCUCGCCCUGUACGUCUAGCCCACAUAUCAAUAUCGCUAGAACAACAAUGGCAUGAGGGAAAAUCUUGUAAAGUUUUGAAAAGAUAACAGUCCUGCGACUGAGUGUACAGGUCCUUAGUCUCCAUGCUUUGAUUGCAUAUAGACGACGAGGAGGAGCUGAAUUGCCGGUUGUGUUUACAAAACUCUGAUCCUCUGCCUAUCAGCAUCCCCGAUCUCGUUGCCAGAGGUGAUGUGGUAUCUGUGGAGUUUGCCCCCCUUCAUAAAGGAAGAUGGAGGGGGCGGCAAUAGCCCCCCUGUAUAGGACUCGAGAAUAACAUACACCUACUGUAAACUCUAACCCCCGGGCUCUGUGCUGCUAGUAGGUGCGAAUAUAUGAGCCCAUGUCAUUGCGCUGUCGUAUAUGUACUCCCACUUGGUUCAUAUGUAUGGGUUGGUGUCUGAGCGGUGCAAUAACCAGGAUAUACUUUCCUCAGGGUCAAACCUCAGCAAGCGCCUUCUAAUCAGGUGAACUCCCCCAAGUAAUUGCCAAUCCCAAUACAAACAAUCCUAUCCUAUUUUCCCUUUCAGACAUGAUUAUUUCUUUAUUUCUUGUCCUUCUAUAAAUUCUUCUGUAUCUUUUGGUCGACUCGCUUACGUUCCAUCUUGAGAUCCGGGGAGCAUCGCCAGGAGGCAGUGGGGAUACGGUGGUCUGUUGUUAGUGCUAUGAUUUUCAUUUUGUUAAAUUAGUGAUCAAUGUCAUUUGUUUUUUACCAAUGCGAGGAAUGGGUAUCGGGUAUCUAGACCUCUGCAUGCUACAGUUCUUCACAAUGAUUGUUAUUUUGCUAAUAGGCUAUCAGAUAGCAGAGGUACAGCUAGCCCACCAUGGCGAAACAACGUGUAGUUGGUUUUGUCAGCUGGAGAGGGUUUUGUGCCUUUAAUGGAAUAUCACGUUCAAUGAAAAUUGACCUCUUCAUGGAAUGUUUUUUGCAUUUUUGCAGGUAUGAUAUUUUCCUAAUGUUUCAGAAAUUAUGUAUUUCUCUUAAAUAAGGUAAAAGUAAUCCUUAGAAAUAUCUAAAGUAGAUUAAUUUUGUGCCUGAAAUUGAACAGAGAUUACACCAAAACAGUUUGUAAACAAUGUCUUUAUACUAUUAUUCCUAUACUCUGGCUAUACUAGCUAGGUAGGCCCUUGUUCAAUUUUUUGUCCAAAUUUUCUUGGACAUGCAAUUUUAAAACAGGCUAAAUUUAUAUGAUCAAGCAUGCUUAUCAAUCCCCAGAUACACAAAUGUAGCUCUAUGUAGAUGAUCAUGUGACCUCAAUUAGGUCACAUGACUAUUGUCACCUUGGGGUCAUAGAGGGCAUGGAAGAACUAUCAAACAUGGUUUGUUGUCUCGUCCCUCCUCAAACUCUAUUUCUUCUCCAGUCUGCAUACACUCAAUAAGCAGUGAUCAGUGCAAAAAGGCACAAGUGCUUUUUGUUUUAUUUUCAGGAAUAGAUGAGAAAGUUCACCUCUGUUUUGAUGUCAGGUGUAUAGGUGUCCAUACUUUCAUGACUUGUAAUGAUGCUGUCCUUCGGAUUUUGAGGAAGGGUAACAUGAUAUGAGUGAACCGAUUGCUCAAUGAAUUCAUUGUCAGUGCAAUAGAAGUAUUAUAGAAUACAGUUUUUGGAAAACAGUCUGGAUCAACCUAGAUAUACAUUUGAUAAUCCAUCAGAAAUAAUGCAACAAACCUGAUUAAGCUAUUCAAACUUUGGAGUUAUUUGUAUCUUGUCAAAACAUAGCAGUCUGCAUAUAAAGGAUGAAUUCAUUAUUCUACAUGCCACCUUUUUGGUAGCAAUUUAGAUGGAAUUAUGUCCUUUUGAAUCUGAGACACAGACCUAUCAGUAACGAUAUCAGUUCCUUUUGUUUAGGACUGGGGGCCAAACACCAGACUUGGAACCAAUUAAGACCCCCAAUUAGACGCCACUAGGUCCUGUCCUUGGUCCUUGACAGGUCCUGCUCUAGCCUCACCUCCCCAGCCGACCUUAGAACAUGGAUGUCAGUACAAAGAAGACCUCAAUUGUUCCAAAUUGUUGCCCCUGAAAGAAGAUAAAUAUGAUGGGUUGGUGUUAUUGCAUAUUAAAAAUAAUUAAUAUUUUACCCUUUGCUUCUAUCCAUUGGCGUUUGAUGAAGAAAGCACACACAAAUUUUUCAGUUUACAGUGAUGGAAGAGACCAUUUUUUUAGGAGGGAGUGGGGGCAUGCAGACAUAUUAACACUUUUCAAUGCUCUUUCGGGUUUCCUGAGUUAGUGUCAUUUCACCAUUCUAUUGGUGUUUUCAUGAACAGCAAUGGAGGUUGAAAUUUGUGUGGUGUUUGACAUUUAAAAUAAUAAUAAAAUGAAUUAAAAAGAUAUCCACUGAUAUCCUUCAAAUUUGAUAUUUGUUCAUUUGUCACU